UGGGGAAUAUUGGACAAUGGGCGAAAGCCUGAUCCAGCCAUGCCGCGUGUGUGAAGAAGGUCUUCGGAUUGUAAAGCACUUUAAGUUGGGAGGAAGGGCAUUAACCUAAUACGUUAGUGUUUUGACGUUACCGACAGAAUAAGCACCGGCUAACUCUGUGCCAGCAGACGCGGUAAUACAGAGGGUGCAAACGUUAAUCGGAAUUACUGGGCGUAAAGCGCGCGUAGGUGGUUUGUUAAGUUGGAUGUGAAAGCCCCGGGCUCAACCUGGGAACUGCAUCCAAAACUGGCAAGCUAGAGUACGGUAGAGGGUGGUGGAAUUUCCUGUGUAGCGGUGAAAUGCGUAGAUAUAGGAAGGAACACCAGUGGCGAAGGCGACCACCUGGACUGAUACUGACACUGAGGUGCGAAAGCGUGGGGAGCAAACA
rnacentral:rRNA from 1 species